rnacentral:rRNA from 1 species
UACGAAGGGGGCUAGCGUUGCUCGGAAUCACUGGGCGUAAAGCGCACGUAGGCGGAUUGUUAAGUCAGGGGUGAAAUCCUGGAGCUCAACUCCAGAACUGCCUUUGAUACUGGCGAUCUCGAGUCCGGGAGAGGUGAGUGGAACUGCGAGUGUAGAGGUGAAAUUCGUAGAUAUUCGCAAGAACACCAGUGGCGAAGGCGGCUCACUGGACUGGUACUGACGCUGAGGCGCGAAAGCUAGGGGAGCAAACGGG